rnacentral:rRNA from 1 species
AUUGAACGCUGGCGGCAGGCCUAACACAUGCAAGUCGAACGAGUGGCGGACGGGUGAGUAAUGGCUGGGAAACUGCCUGAUGGAGGGGGAUAACUACUGGAACAGGUAGAUAAUACCGCAUACCAUGGGAUGUGACCAGAUGGGAGUAGUUAGUAGGUGGGGUUAAGGCUCACCUAGGCGUCGCUCCCUAGCUGGUCUGAGAGGAUGAACAGCAACACUGUAACUGAGACACGGUCCAGACUCCUUCGGUAGGCAGCAGUGGGGAAUAUUGCACAAUGGGCGCAAGCCUGAUGCAGCCAUGCCGCGUGUAUGAAGAAGGCCUUCGGUUUGUAAAGUACUUGCAUCGGGGAGGCGUUACCCGCAGAAGAAGCACCGGCUAACUCCGUGCCAGCAGCCGCGGUAAUAC